rnacentral:rRNA from 1 species
AUGCAUAGGAAUCUGCCCGAUAGUGGGGGAUAACCUGGGGAAACCCAGGCUAAUACCGCAUACGUCCUACGGGAGAAAGGGGGCUCCGGCUCCCGCUAUGGGAUGAGCCUAUGUCGGAUUAGCUAGUUGGUGAGGUAACGGCUCACCAAGGCCACGAUCCGUAGCUGGUCUGAGAGGAUGAUCAGCCACGUCGGGACUGAGACACGGCCCGAACUCCUACGGGAGGCAGCAGUGGGGAAUAUUGGACAAUGGGGGAAACCCUGAUCCAGCCAUGCCGCGUGUGUGAAGAAGGCCCUCGGGUUGUAAAGCACUUUCAGCGAGGAAGAACGCCUAGCGGUUAAUACCCGCUAGGAAAGACAUCACUCGCAGAAGAAGCACCGGCUAACUCCGUGCCAGCAGCCGCGGUAAUACGGAGGGUGCAAGCGUUAAUCGGAAUUACUGGGCGUAAAGCGCGCGUAGGUGGCUUGAUAAGCCGGUUGUGAAAGCCCCGGGCUCAACCUGGGAACGGCAUCC